UUAAGUCUCGUUCAGGUAGUGUGUAAAUCAAAAAUUCGAUGGGACUCGCAUCCGUCGUCCUCGCGCGGUCUUUCGUCCCGAUAUCCAGAAGCAGAGUUUGAAAAACUCUAGCGACGGCACGGGUGUCCGACUCACGACAACGAGGAAAGACAGCCGGUCCCCUCUGAACGGUAUAUAAUAUGAAACUUUAAGUCUCGUUCAGGUAGUGUGUAAGUCAAAAAUUCGAUGGGACUCGCAUCCGUCGUCCUCGCGCGGUCUUUCGUCCCGAUAUCCAGAAGCAGAAGUUUGAAAAACUCUAGCGACGGCACGGGUGUCCGACUCACGACAACGAGGAUAGACAGCCGGUCCCCUCUGAACGGUAUAUAAUAUGAAACUUUAAGUCUCGUUCAGGUAGUGUGUAAGUCAAAAAUUCGAUGGGACUCGCAUCCGUCGUCCUCGCGCGGUCUUUCGUCCCGAUAUCCAGAAGCAGAAGUUUGAAAAACUCUAGCGACGGCACGGGUGUCCGACUCACGACAACGAGGAAAGACAGCCGGUCCCCUCUGAACGGUAUAUAAUAUGAAACUUUAAGUCUCGUUCAGGUAGUGUGUAAGUCAAAAAUUCGAUGGGACUCGCAUCCGUCGUCCUCGCGCGGUCUUUCGUCCCGAUAUCCAGAAGCAGAAGUUUGAAAAACUCUAGCGACGGCACGGGUGUCCGACUCACGACAACGAGGAAAGACAGCCGGUCCCCUCUGAACGGUAUAUUAUAUGAAACUUUAAGUCUCGUUCAGGUAGUGUGUAAGUCAAAAAUUCGAUGGGAC